rnacentral:rRNA from 1 species
GUAGGGUGCGAGCGUUGUCCGGAAUUACUGGGCGUAAAGAGUUCGUAGGCGGUUUGUCGCGUCGUUUGUGAAAACCCGGGGCUCAACUUCGGGCUUGCAGGCGAUACGGGCAGACUUGAGUGUUUCAGGGGAGACUGGAAUUCCUGGUGUAGCGGUGAAAUGCGCAGAUAUCAGGAGGAACACCGGUGGCGAAGGCGGGUCUCUGGGAAACAACUGACGCUGAGGAACGAAAGCGUGGGUAGCAAACAGGAUUAGAUACCCUGGUAGUCCACGCCGUAAACGGUGGGCGCUAGGUGUGGGUUCCUUCCACGGGAUCUGUGCCGUAGCUAACGCAUUAAGCGCCCCGCCUGGGGAGUACGGCCGCAAGGCUAAAACUCAAAGGAAUUGACGGGGGCCCGCACAAGCGGCGGAGCAUGUGGAUUAAUUCGAUGCAACGCGAAGAACCUUACCUGGGUUUGACAUACACCGGAAAGCUGCAGAGAUGUGGCCCCCCUUGUGGUCGGUGUACAGGUGG